GUUGGACCUGAAAAUGUUGAGGGCUUUCAAGCAGUCCAGGACUUGACUGUUUUUUUAUUUAAAUUAAAAGAACACAGUCUUGCCCUGUCAAGGGAGGAGGCUGAGGAAAUAAUUUCCCUGUGGAAUUAUUUGUCAGACUUUGACAAGUGUCGCACAGUGUACCCCCCACGUCACCAGGAUACACUCGCACAUGGCAGAUUCAGGACGUCAAAAAAGGCUGUUGCGCCUGGUGUGGAGAGUACAAAGCGAUGCUUUGCAGGAGGGAGAAGCCCAGCACAGUGGCCAGACUGCAAUCGGGUUUGUGAGGCACUCUUCGUCCAACUUUGUGAGGAGUACCGUGGAUCGAGGCGGAUUGAUGGGGUCCGCCACGAGCACUGGAGUCUGGUCAUGAAAGCAUACCUCCACAUCCGUCAGGUUGUUUUAAACAACGCCACGGUGAUGGAGAAGACCUCACUUCAGCUCCCGGUCGUGAACACGGCAACACUCUCGAGUUGGUACUGCAAACGGGAAAGAGGACAGGAGAAGAGGAUUCUCGAGCAAGGGAUCUGUCCGCCUCAGACAACAACUGUGAGCCCCGAGAGCCUGCCUCCUGCAGUUCAGAGGAAAGGCAAACCGUGUAUGCCUCAAAGCAUCGCGGCAUAUUCCCACGUGUUUGUUCUGCCACCUAACACUGCAGGGACGGCAACACUGCAGGGACGGAAGAUCAGAAGAGUGAACCCUCCUUCUGAUCUUCUGAGGCCACCAUUCCUCGCAGCCCUCGAGCCUCAAAUCCAGCCCCCCACACCUGUGUUUCCCACACCUCCAUUCAUCCCACCUCUCCUGCCUCAACCCCUCUGGUCUGUGCCUCAACCUCACCUGCCUGCCUUACAGCCUGCAGGAGCAUCUGUGGUACAUGU